CUUACUCCCAGAGCUCUAGUUUGAAAAACCACCCGGAGCAUAGCAACCUGGUGUCAGACUCAGUUCUGGAUCUGCAGAGAUGGGAGAUCAGGUUCUGCAGGUGUGAAGUGGAGGCCCAAGGAUCACACUCCCAGCCUGCGCCUCCAUCCUGCCCUGAGAGCUGUGGCCAAGCAAAGCCAAACUCAGGUGCAGACCUGGGGAACCAGGAGAGCAAACUAAAUGGCCUGAGAAUCAGUGUCUUGCAAGCAAAAUGACUUUCAGGGGAAGACAGCUCUACAAGUCUCCCAGGUUUGUCUUCUGGGGUCACCACGGUGCCAGGAGAAGUGGAAGUGGCCACAAAAGCAAGCAGCAGAUGAAAAGCUGGUCUUUGAACCCAGUCCACCUGGCCACCCACAGACCUCGGUGUGGGAAAGCACUGGGGUCUCAACAGAUGUUUCAGGAAUCUGGCCCCGCCCCCAGUUUUCUGAUAACUAAAAUCCCUUAAAGAAAUAAAGAAGAUUACA